GAGGUCUUAGCUUAAUUAAAGUGUCUGAGUUGCAGUCAGAUGAUGCUGAUUAGAGUUUCGCAGGUCUUC
rnacentral:tRNA from 1 species